CUCCGCAUGUCCCCAGUGCAGAAUCUGUCAUGUGGCUGGCCCAGCAUGGAGAUGACGGCAGAAUGCAGACGGGUUGGCACCCUCCCCCCGCCCCCGUGCCCAGGCCACCCACCCCAUCGGCCAUCUUUCCUGCCGCCCUGGCUGUUGCCAGCAGAAGGACUGGGUGGGGAUCAGCUCUGGGGCCAAAGAGGAUGGGACAAUGCGCCCUCCAGACUCCUAGGACUGGCCCUCUGGCCCUGGCAUGUCCCUGACCACAAACGGGCAGAGGCCUGGGUGGAGCGGAGGAGGGCGCGUUCCCGCGGACCAGCGGUGGGCAGGGGCAGUGCCUUGGAGAGCCAUCUCCCUGGGUUUCGUGGAACCCUGUCCACCUGCCUGCAGACCAACAGACAGCGUGGGCCAGCUCCAGGAAGUGAUGCUUAGGGCCCAGGCCACAGGGGCGGGGGUGGGCCACCUCUGGCACACAGGCUGCUCCUUCCUCCUGGUCCCACAGACACCAGGCCCAGGCAGACUCUGGGCCCAGGGGAGGUGGAGGGCUGGGCCCAGAGCACGCUGUGCCCUGGCUGCCCAGUCCUUCUCUGCUCCCUGCCGCCCCCAGGCCUGUCUUCCUUCAGAGAGGAGGUUUCCGGGCCAUUAUAUUUGUACUUCCUCUGGCGUCUGCCUCAAGCCCAGCCCUAGCCCUGACCACUCCAUCCCUCGCUGACCCCCAUCUUCCCUGGGGACCCUCCAUCGGCCCGUGUCUCCCUCAGGGGCUGAUCCUGGAGACAGGAGUAGUGUGGGGGACUGGGAGAGCAGUGCUGAGCAGAUGGGGCUGGGGUGGUCUCCCAGGGGUCAGGCCAGAGUUCAGUGUGAGUGCUGGGAGUGAUCCUGGGCAGAGGUGAGGAGGAACUGUCAGCCAAGGCUGGGCCUCCCAUCCUUUGUCCCUCGGAUGGAGAGGCUGGAGGAAGGAGGAUGGCUGCUUCCUCGAGGGCUUGCAUCAUGGCCAAGAAGAGCAGCUCAAUUUUUCCAGAAGGGACGGAAACGUCCCCGUCAACCCCGCAGCAAAGCUGAGGUGUGACUGUGGGCUCACCCUCUGGACAGGACUGGGGAUGCCACAGGGCAGACUCAGCAUGGCCCGGCUCCCUGCCUGGGGCAGGUGGGUGCCCAGCGAGAUGGAAGAUGAGCCAAGACGUGCUGGCACGUAUCUACCUGGGUGGGCUCCCCGCCGGGCCCCCAGGUCUCAAGAUGCUGCUGGUGCUGCAGCAUCAUGGCCUCGCUCAGCUCACAGUCCCUCCCCGCAGCAGCCCUGGUCAGCCAUGUGUGCUGGAGGGCUGAGGGCCAGGCGAGCAAGGUCCCCAGGGCAGUACACCCUGAACUUUGGGGGUUCAAGCCCAUUGCUGCCCCCUCAGCAACCAGGCGGAAGCACCAGGCAGCUUCUGGUCCCAGCCAAGGCCUGAGGUCUGUGGAGCUGAGCCAGCACUGCCACUGCCAAGAUUCCCGGCAAGGGGGUGGGGGCGGCGGGGACACAGUUCUCGCUUGUUCCUGCCCCAGCUCCUCAGGCUCAGCUGAGCCGCUUCCUUUUUUAGGCAAAGUCAGCCUGUCUCAAAGCCCGGCGUCUCACCUGCCAGAAAGGGAGGAAGGAAAACCAUUGAGUCCCAUCCGUCCUCCUGGGGAGGGGGAAAGGGAGGGGACAUCCUGGCAGAGAUGGCCCUGCUGCCUCACCCUGCGGGAACUGUGCCCCUCCCCAGCUAAGCAGAAAGGAGUGGUUGGGAGAGGGCAGUGGUUACCCCACCAGAAGGAAUCUUAGGAGUGAGGGGGGCGAGGCUCUCCUGGACCUCAAUUCCUGCCCAGGGAUGCUGAACUGCCUCCCUAAGGGCAAGGAAUCUGCCCUGGGGGCUGAGUGUCCCUCAGGGUGUCCCUGGCAGCCAGCCACCUCUAGUCUGGUCUAGCAAAGAUCC